rnacentral:lncRNA from 1 species
AGCUAAUAAUGGAAGCAAUUUGUAACUUUCAGUAGCUCUCUAGGCCUGGGUACCGGAGGGAGGGAGGCGGGCAGAGGAGGGGAGAUGGGCACCCCCAGUCUUUCCAUCCUCCUCAUUCGUCUAGGGGCACCCGAAUCCCCUAUUCCUUAUUUCCCCUAUCACUCAGGCACUGGCAGGGUCCUUUGCCCACUCCUGUUGGCCGCUGCGGCUCCAAAGCGAGCUGGGCAGAUGUGCCUGAGACAGGUUUGACCAGGCAACUGAAAAGACAUCCCUAAGAGAAGACAAAGCAAAGGUAUGAAAGGAACACACGUCCCUGACUGACUAGGAGGAACAGAGCUGCCUGCUAUCCGGAACAACUUCCUCCCAGACUAAGUGAGAAAUAAACUUCUGUUUUCUAUA